rnacentral:rRNA from 1 species
AACGAACGCUGGCGGCAUGCCUAACACAUGCAAGUCGAACGAGAUCUUCGGAUCUAGUGGCGCACGGGUGCGUAACGCGUGGGAAUCUGCCCUUGGGUACGGAAUAACUCAGAGAAAUUUGUGCUAAUACCGUAUAAUGUCUUCGGACCAAAGAUUUAUCGCCCAAGGAUGAGCCCGCGUAGGAUUAGCUAGUUGGUGAGGUAAAAGCUCACCAAGGCGACGAUCCUUAGCUGGUCUGAGAGGAUGAUCAGCCACACUGGGACUGAGACACGGCCCAGACUCCUACGGGAGGCAGCAGUGGGGAAUAUUGGACAAUGGGCGAAAGCCUGAUCCAGCAAUGCCGCGUGAGUGAUGAAGGCCCUAGGGUUGUAAAGCUCUUUUACCCGGGACUGAUAAUGACAGUACCGGGAGAAUAAGCUCCGGCUAACUUCGUG